GAAGCCGGCCCGGCAAGGUGCCAGGGUCCCUCUCUGUUUGGGCUCCUCUCCAACUCCUGGGACUAUGUCUCAGGCCUACGCUGCCGGAGCCAAGAGCGCAGGGCGGUGGACGGGACCUUCUUUGCUGCAUGGAUGGAUGGCCCAAGAAUAUAAUGGCCCAGGAGAAGAUGCGCUAAGAGGCUGCGGACACUGGUUUGAAGAAGCAGCCACAGAAGGGAGCCCAGUGGAGGCACGUUCUUGUCGGAAUUGAAGAAAAGAGGGAUCGAUUGGAGGAAAUGGCUAGAUGAAGCUCAUAGCUCCACAGUUCUAGUCACUCAGAUGGCGAGGGUGUCAUGGCAGCGCGGGGCCUGACACAGGAUUGAACAGCUAUAAGUUAUUGCUCUGGGUUUUAUUUUGAGACAAGGUCACAUGUAGUCAAGCCAUCCUGACCUCAAAGUUUCAAUGUAGCCAACCUUAGAGUUAUCCUGUCUCUGCCUCCCCAGUCCUGGGAUUGCAGGUAGGAGCCGCCACACCUAGAGGAUACAACACUGAGUAUUGAAUCCAGGGUCUUCUGCGUGCUUGGCAAAGACUCCCCAAAUUGAGCUGCAUCCCUGACCCUGUUUUUGUUGUUUUGUUGAGUCAGGAUCUUGCAUUGGUGGGCCAGGGUGGCCUCCAACUUUGGUACGUUUUCCUGCUUCUGUUUCAAAUGCUGGGAUUAUAACAUGCGGCACAACUCUUA
rnacentral:lncRNA from 1 species